rnacentral:lncRNA from 1 species
GCCUUGCCCCGCGCAAGCACACAAAAAAGCCUUGCCCCAGGCAAGCACUCAAAGAAGCCUUGCCCCAGGCAAGCACUCAAAGAAGCCAUGCCCCAGGCAAGCACUCAAAAAGCCUUGCCCCAGGCAAGCAGUCAAAAAUGCCUUGUCUCAAGCAAGUACCAAAGCUUUGCCCUGCGCAAGCACAAAAAGCCUUGAUCAUAUAGUCAAGUGUAAACCAUUAUAGUAUCGCCCAGGGACAUACAAAAAUCCCACAUCAUUUUGGAC